rnacentral:rRNA from 1 species
GACGAACGCUGGCGGCGCGCCUAACACAUGCAAGUCGAACGGAGCUGAGAGAAGCUUGCUUUUCUUAGCUUAGUGGCGAACGGGUGAGUAACGCGUGAGUAACCUGCCCUGGAGUGGGGGACAACAGUUGGAAACGACUGCUAAUACCGCAUAAGCCCACGAUCCGGCAUCGGAUUGAGGGAAAAGGAUUUAUUCGCUUCAGGAUGGACUCGCGUCCAAUUAGCUAGUUGGCGAGGUAACGGCCCACCAAGGCGACGAUUGGUAGCCGGACUGAGAGGUUGAACGGCCACAUUGGGACUGAGACACGGCCCAGACUCCUACGGGAGGCAGCAGUGGGGGAUAUUGCACAAUGGGGGAAACCCUGAUGCAGCGACGCCGCGUGGAGGAAGAAGGUUUUCGGAUUGUAAACUCCUGUCGUGAGGGACGAUAAUGACGGUACCUAACAAGAAAGCACCGGCUAACUACGUG